rnacentral:rRNA from 1 species
CCCGCACAAGCGGUGGAGCAUGUGGUUAAUUCGAAGCAACGCGAAGAACCUUACCAGGCCUUGACAUGCAGAGAACUUUCCAGAGAUGGAUUGGUGCCUUCGGGAACUCUGACACAGGUGCUGCAUGGCUGUCGUCAGCUCGUGUCGUGAGAUGUUGGGUUAAGUCCCGUAACGAGCGCAACCCUUGUCCUUAGUUACCAGCACGUUAUGGUGGGCACUCUAAGGAGACUGCCGGUGACAAACCGGAGGAAGGUGGGGAUGACGCCAAGUCAUCAUGGCCCUUACGGCCUGGGCUACACACGUGCUACAAUGGUCGGUACAAAGGGUUGCCAAGCCGCGAGGUGGAGCUAAUCCCAUAAAACCGAUCGUAGUCCGGAUCGCAGUCUGCAACUCGACUGCGUGAAGUCGGAAUCGCUAGUAAUCGUGAAUCAGAAUGUCACGGUGAAUACGUUCCCGGGCCUU